AGUUGCUGGUCAAUACAUUUGGCAGAUCAGACCGAACAGUAAAAGAAGAGAGCAUAUCAGUACAUAGCUAGCACCGUAUCUUGUGAUGGCCGUCAGUACAACAAGUGCAUGCUUUGUAUGCUUGGCAGCCCUUAUGGUGGUGAUGGCCACUGUGAUGUUGUCCUGUGAUGCUGAUCCAAAGGAAUGGUGCUCAGGGCUUGAAGAUGGAUGCACCGAAGACAAGUGCAAGGGUUGGUGUGAAGGCAGGGGUUACACCAAGGGAAUUCAUUGCCAGGACGUCGCCACUUGUUGUUGUAGGAGGACUGCGACCAAGCCCAUGGUGGAUGUUGUCCGUGGUCGUGAUUGAGCGCUUGCGAACGUUGCAUUUUUUAUUAGAUAUGUUGCAAAAGGUCGGUGCGUUCGCAGCGGGUAAGAAAUAAAUAAAUUUUAAAGAAACAUUUAGCAUC